UACGUAGGGCGCAAGCGUUGUCCGGAAUUAUUGGGCGUAAAGAGCUCGUAGGCGGCCUGUUGCGUCCGCUGUGAAAGCCCGGGGCUUAACCCCGGGUCUGCAGUGGAUACGGGCAGGCUAGAGGUAGGUAGGGGAGAAUGGAAUUCCCGGUGUAGCGGUGAAAUGCGCAGAUAUCGGGAGGAACACCGGUGGCGAAGGCGGUUCUCUGGGCCUUUCCUGACGCUGAGGAGCGAAAGCGUGGGGAGCGAACAGG
rnacentral:rRNA from 1 species